UACGUAGGGGGCAAGCGUUGUCCGGAAUCAUUGGGCGUAAAGAGCGUGUAGGCGGUUCGGCAAGUCGACGGUGAAAUCUCCACGCUCAACGUGGAGGGGUCCGUCGAUACUGCCGUGACUCGAGUCCGGUAGGGGAGUGUGGAAUUCCCGGGUGUAGCGGUGAAAUGCGCAGAGAUCGGGAGGAACACCCGUAGCGAAGGCGGCACUCUGGGCCGAGCCGUGACGCUG
rnacentral:rRNA from 1 species